GUGGGAGGGGAAAGUGAUCUCUGACCGCGUGCCUGUUGAAGAAUGAGCCGGCGACUCAUAGGCAGUGGCUUGGUUAAGGGAACGGAACCCACCGGAGCCGUAGCGAAAGCGAGUCUUCAUAGGGCGAUUGUCACUGCUUAUGGACCCGAACCUGGGUGAUCUAUCCAUGACCAGGAUGAAGCUUGGAUGAAACUAAGCAGAGGUCCGAACCGACUGACAAUCGAUAGGACCGGUUGGAUUCACCUAUAUAAGCUGCGGCUAAUGUUGCAAAAAUAAGAGCUUGAAUACCGCUUGUAAAUAAUCCAAGAAACAUGACCGGU
rnacentral:ncRNA from 1 species